CAAAAGUUAUGGAAACGUGGAGAGAGAGAGAGGCGCUACAAAUCAUGGAGAGAGAGAGAGAUUUUAUUUAUUUUGGAUAAGGAUCGUGGAAGAGGAAUAACAAGAAAGAGAAAUUGAGAAUUAAAAACAUAAAUAUUGAAUUAAGAGUAAAAAAGUCUUUAGAAAAAUGAAUUAGUAGAAAAAGUGCAUAUUCCCUAUAAAGUUCCUCAAACGGAAAAACAUUUUCUAAAAGUGCCUAAUAGUAGAACAUUCCCUUAGACUAAUGCUAACAUUUUUUUUC
rnacentral:sRNA from 1 species